rnacentral:rRNA from 1 species
CUUUUAUGGAGAGUUUGAUCCUGGCUCAGGACGAACGCUGGCGGCGUGCCUAAUACAUGCAAGUCGAGCGGAGUCAUUCCUUCGGGGAUGGCUUAGCGGCGGACGGGUGAGUAACACGUAGGCAACCUGCCUGGAAGACCGGGAUAA